GCCAUAUCUGUUUCUCACUGCUUUCAUAUCUUCAUAUACCUGACGCAUUGUUGGUCUUUGCUCUGAAAUGGACUGCACACAACUAAGUGCAAUCUGAAGAACCUGAUGGAUCUCAUCAUCAAAUCCUUGCCCAAUCAAAGAUUUAUCAGGUAGAUCAUGGAAAUUGGAAGAAUUACUAUCCAGAAUAUGACUAACCCAAUCAUUUGAAGAUCUAUCAUAGCUGUUUGAGGAAUAAUUACUAGUCAUUUUAGAUGAAUCCUUCCCAGUAAUCAGCUCAAGAAGCACAAUUCCAAAGCUAUAGACAUCCUCCUUAAUAAAUUCCAUUUCCCAAACUUCAGUAUUUGCACAAGAACUGUUUUUGGGAAUCAAGAGUAUGGCCUCUCCAAAAUUUGAUAACUUAGGCUCAAAAUCGUAAUCAAGUAAGACACAUUUUGAGCUUAUAUUAAGAUGGAUUAUAUGGAUAUUACACCCCUGAUGAAGCCAUGCCAAGCCUCUU
rnacentral:misc_RNA from 1 species